GAGCUAGGCGGAAUAGAGAUGAAUACAAAUUGGUUCUGAAGGUUCACCAAAGUUUUCAGCUUCAUGCGCUGAAGCAGACACCUCUGGAUGAUGUGGAGCGCUUGGAUCCCAGCAAGAUAAUUGGUAGGCUUAAGCUGCCAAUGACCUUGGGAACAGAACAAUUACAGACUUGAAGGAGAGAGCACUUUAGACUUGAUUGUUGGUUUAGGAGAUAGAAACACACAUUUAGUUUCCUGUCAUCCCGUGUACCAAGAAAUUAAGGUGCUAAUCAGUUCAAAACUUCCCGAUGGAUCAAAAGAAGCAGGGGAUAAGGAUCAUUAUUCUAUCCUUUACAACAAAUUUAUUUUAGAAAAGAAAAAGGAGGUCUACAAAUUAUUUAAGAUUAGUAUCUAUUCAUGCUUGCAGCACUUUAAAAAUAAAUAACCAAAUUAUUUAAUGUAAGAUCACAUGUGCAAAUUUUCCAUGCUGAAAAAGAACAGAAUAAGAUGAGGGAUUCCCUUGGAGUUAUCACAAGUUACCACCAAGGAAUGAGUAUCAUGGUCAUGGGUCCAAACCUAUUGCAUGUAAAAGAGGAAGUUCAGAGACACGCAUGCAAAGAGAACUGAGAUCUUAGAAAUGCUCCUCCAGUCCCACCCUACCAUAACUGUCCACCCACAACCUGCCCCUUUCCCAAAAUUUAGGGGCAAAAAGCAACUUCAUCUACAUAAGCACCUCCUUCAGUCAAUGAAAUUCAUUAUAAAAGAAAAAAAGACAUGCAUAAUCAGCAUAGAAAAGACUCAGCAAAAACUCAAUGAGAAAUAAGGGGUUAAAGAAGAAUAAGCAACCUAGCAGGCUUAAAACGCUAUAAGCAAAAACAACCACUCCUAUGAAUGGCAUCUAGGACUAGCCAAAAACCAACCCUGCCUUGCCACCAGAACACCAUAACAUUAUCUGCAAUUAACUCAAUGUCCAAAGUCAGUUGGGCAAAGCAAGAUCCCCAGAAAGAUGCUAAAUUUCAUGGUAUCAAUCUUACUGAAAUUUUUGCUUUUCAAAUCUCAGUAUUUAUUAGAAUAUGUGGAUAGAAUAAGAAGGCCAAACCAAGUAGAAGGCUAAGGCCUAGGAGCAAACAAGAGGAGAGGCAAACCAAAAAUGACGUGGGCAGAAUUGGUACAAAAUCAUGUAGCGUUAUAAUUCAUCAACAGGUCAUAGAAAGUCCCUAAGCAGAAAAGAAAAGAGAACAAGAUCCAAACAGCUAAUUUGGGAUUGACACUUGAUUGAAUUGAGCAUGAACCCCAAAGAAACAUACAUAGGAAGAAAUGUCAAUGAAUGACAAUUGAAAUACUUAAUAGGAUAUUACCUUCCGUUUAAUAGGCAUAGAUGAGUUGGCAACUGGCUUAAAAAAUGAUUCCAAUCUGUCAGAGAAAUGAAACAAGGCAUGAUAAGAAAAUGAAAAAAAAAUUGACGAGUGCAAAUCAGUCUAGAGCUUCAACGAGUUGCAAUUCAUCCCAGCUUCUAAAACUUGCAAUUUAAACACUAUGCAUUGAAAAGUGUUUGAAUAUGGUCUGUGUGAGCUAAGCAAUUAGUUUCACACCCAUAAAUCAGAAAAUAGUAGUUAACACUGAUCUGUACCUUUAACAUUCUAGAAAACAAAUUUAAACCAGGCAACUGCCUUGCAAGCAGAAAAUAAGAACUUCUGCCGGAAAGGUGGCAUAGCACACAAAAUUAUCACCAUAAGCAUAUGAUGGAUACCGAAAAUUAAAAAAGUGAAAGACCAUAAAGGGGUAUGAUUAACACUUGUUAUGGAAAGUCAAUCACU
rnacentral:misc_RNA from 1 species